rnacentral:tRNA from 2 species
GGGCGAUUAGCUCAGAGGUUUAGAGCAUGUGCCUUACACGCACUGUGCGGGGGUUCGAAUCCCUCAUCGCCCACCG